rnacentral:rRNA from 1 species
GAUGAACGCUGGCGGCGUGCCUAAUACAUGCAAGUCGAGCGAACAGAUGAGGAGCUUGCUCCUCUGACGUUAGCGGCGGACGGGUGAGUAACACGUGGAUAACCUACCUAUAAGACUGGGAUAACUUCGGGAAACCGGAGCUAAUACCGGAUAAUAUAUUGAACCGCAUGGUUCAAUAGUGAAAGACGGUUUUGCUGUCACUUAUAGAUGGACCCGCGCCGCAUUAGCUAGUUGGUAAGGUAACGGCUUACCAAGGCAACGAUGCGUAGCCGACCUGAGAGGGUGAUCGGCCACACUGGAACUGAGACACGGUCCAGACUCCUACGGGAGGCAGCAGUAGGGAAUCUUCCGCAAUGGGCGAAAGCCUGACGGAGCAACGCCGCGUGAGUGAUGAAGGUCUUCGGAUCGUAAAACUCUGUUAUUAGGGAAGAACAAAUGUGUAAGUAACUAUGCACGUCUUGACGGUACCUAAUCAGAAAGCCACGGCUAACUACGU